rnacentral:rRNA from 1 species
AACGGGUGAGUAAUGCAUCGGAACGUGCCCAAUCGGUGGGGGAUAACGUAGCGAAAGUUACGCUAAUACCGCAUAAGCCCUGAGGGGGAAAGUGGGGGACCGCAAGGCCUCACGCGAAUGGAGCGGCCGAUGUCAGAUUAGCUAGUUGGUGGGGUAAAGGCCCACCAAGGCGACGAUCUGUAGCGGGUCUGAGAGGAUGAUCCGCCACACUGGGACUGAGACACGGCCCAGACUCCUACGGGAGGCAGCAGUGGGGAAUUUUGGACAAUGGGCGCAAGCCUGAUCCAGCCAUGCCGCGUGCGGGACGAAGGCCUUCGGGUUGUAAACCGCUUUCAGCCGGAAAGAAAUCGCCGUUUUAAUACAGACGGUGGAUGACGGUACCGGAAGAAGAAGCACCGGCUAACUACGUG